GGUUUUGGGUGUGGUCUAUGUCA
rnacentral:siRNA from 1 species